UACAGAGGGUGCGAGCGUUGUCCGGAAUCACUGGGCGUAAAGGGCGCGUAGGUGGCGCUGCAAGUCGGUGGUGAAAGCUCGUCGCUUAACGACGGGUCGGCCAUCGAAACUGCAGGGCUGGAGCACUGUAGGGGCUAAUGGAAUUCCGGGUGUAGCGGUGGAAUGCGUAGAGAUCCGGAAGAACACCAGUGGCGAAGGCGGUUAGCUGGGCAGUUGCUGACACUGAGGUGCGAAAGCGUGGGGAGCAAACAGG
rnacentral:rRNA from 1 species